UUCGGGUGUUAAAGCACGUUUCAGUAGGGAGGAAGGUUAGUGUAGUUAACACCUGCACUAUUUGUACGUUACCUACAGAAGAAGCACCGGCUAACUCCGUGCCAGCAGCCGCGGUAAUACGGAGGGUGCGAGCGUUAAUCGGAAUUACUGGGCGUAAAGCGCAUGCAGGCGGCCGUGUUAAGUCAGAUGUGAAAGCCCGGGGCUUAACCUCGGAAUUGCAUUUGAAACUAGGCAGGCUAGAGUCUUGUAGAGGGGGGUAGGAAUUUCAGGUGUAGCGGUGAAAUAGCGUAGAGAUCUGAAGGAAUACCAGUGGCGAAGGCCGGCCCCCUCGGACAAAGACUGACGCUCAGAUGCGAAAAGCGUGGGGAGCAAACAGGAUUAGAUACCCUGGUAG
rnacentral:rRNA from 1 species